rnacentral:rRNA from 1 species
CUACGGGUUGCUGCAGUUACGAAACCUCUACAAUGCACGCAAGUGUGAUAGGGGGAUCCAUCGUGCAAUCCAUUCGGAUUGCUUUUUUGAAGUGUAAGUAGCUUCGAGAAUAAGGGGUGGGCAAGACCGGUGCCAGCCGCCGCGGUAAUCCCGGCGCCCCAAGUGGUGAUCACGAUUAUUGGGCCUAAAGCAUCCGUAGCCGGUUUGGUAAGUCUCUGGUGAAAUUCGGCAGCCUAACUGUCGAGCGUGCUGGAGAUACUGCCUUACUUGAGAUCGGGAGGAGCUAGGGGAAUUCUAGGGGGAGCGGUAAAAUGUUUUAAUCCCUGGAGGACCAUCAGUGGCGAAGGCGCCUAGCUAGAACGAGUCUGACGGUGAGGGAUGAGAGCUAGGGGAGCAAAGAGGAUUAGAUACCCUUGUAGUC